UAGCAAUACUAACUGAGUGGCGAACGGGUGAGUAACGCGUGGGUGACCUACCUUCGAGUGGGGGAUAACGUCCCGAAAGGGACGCUAAUACCGCAUGACAUCCUCUUUUUGAACAGAGAGAGAUCAAAGCCGGGGAUCGCAAGACCCGGCGCUUGAUGAGGGGCCCGCGUCUGAUUAGCUAGUUGGUGGGGUAAUGGCUCACCAAGGCGACGAUCAGUAUCCGGCCUGAGAGGGCGGACGGACACACUGGGACUGAGACACGGCCCAGACUCCUACGGGAGGCAGCAGUAGGGAAUUGUUCGCAAUGGGCGCAAGCCUGACGACGCAACGCCGCGUGGAGGAUGAAGACCUUCGGG
rnacentral:rRNA from 1 species